rnacentral:lncRNA from 1 species
UCAAAAAGAAUAUGUUAAAAAAUAUAUUAAAAUAUGUGUUGUCAACAUUCCUCAGAUAAAAUAAAAUAGAACGGAUGUAACAACAUACUCACAGUUUAUGGCAUUAAUUUGUGAAAUUAGAUAAUUAAGUAAUACAUUAUUUAUUGGAAAACAAGAGGGUGCAAAACGGGAUUUCUACUUAUCCUUUGUUGUUGAAGGAAUAAUCUUUAGAUUCGACUGCAAAUAGUUGAGAAAGGUGUUAUUACAUAUAUGCUUGAAGGACCACAAAAAAGUUUGGCCAUCAAAGAACCAAUUGAAAAAGUUAUGAUGCGUCUUUAUUUCUUCCUCCAAUGUGCAUUUUUCCUUGUGUCUAGUUUCUUCUACUUUCUACACCUAAGAAUGUGAAUGAUAGUUUACUUCAAUUGAUAAAGACAAUGCAUAAUAUAUGCAAAGUUCGGGAUUCGAACCCCAUCCACAAAAAAACAUGUUAAUGAUCAAUUAUGAAAAACGAGAAUAACAUUAUUUUGAACAAACUCAAAGGUUAGACAGUAAAUAUGGAAAGAAUACUUCCUCAAAUGAUCAUGUAUGGCUAGAAUCCAUAGCGUUGAUGGUGCUCUAUGGUGAGCAUGCAUGUAAAACACUUCAAAGCUCAAAUUAGUAUCAUGAUUAAGACUAGUUGAAAUUUGAAUGAUCAAGAAUGAAACAUAUCUUAAGUGAUAAUUAGGUUUAUAUAUACCUGAAGAAAGUCUUGGAACAAAAAAAUUCACUCCAGACCAAAUAUGAUAGUACAAAAUGAUUUGAUUAACAAAUUUAAAAACGGUGAUAGAAUGAAUGGAAAAUCUAGUUAAUCUUAAAUAAAAUAAGUCAUAUUAUCUUGACCAAAAAAAAAAGUCAUAUUAUUUGCUACUUUGUUGUUUAUUACUAUUAAAUUAGAAUAAAAUAAAUUUAAGAAAGUAUAGCUG